CCCUUAGAUGUUCUGGGCCGCACGCGCGCUACACUGAUUUGUCCAACAAGUUCUUCCUUGACCGAGAGGUCUGGGUAAUCUUGCAAUCCAAAUCGUGAUGGGGAUUGGUCCUUGUAACUCUUGACCAUGAACGAGGAAUUCCUAGUAAACGCGAGUCAUCAACUCGCAUUGAUUACGUCCCUGCCCUUUGUACACACCGCCCGUCGCACCUACCGAUUGAAUGGUCCGGUGAAGCCUCCGGAUUGGCGCGCACCUCGGUGCCGCCGAGAAGUUGGCUAAACCUUACCAUUUAGAGGAAGGUGAAGUCGUAACA
rnacentral:rRNA from 1 species